UCAUAAUUUCACUAAUCAAAUUUGUGUUGAUCUUUGUAAUGUUCUACACUCAGUCAGUUCAAUUAGUAAUUGCAAAUAUGGUUAAGUCACAGCUUUUCACUGCACAAAUGUUUUUAUUUUUAUUUUUUAUCAUUUAUAAUGGCUAAACAAUCUGUUCUCUCUCUCUUUUUGUGUGUUUGAUAUUUCUUUUCUUUAGGAGCAGCAGGUAGACACAGUCCAUAUCAUGAUCGUCCUAACAGUAAGUAAAUGAAAUCACUGGCAGUAAUAUCAAGAUGUGUUAAACAUUUAUGAGUUGUAAUAUUGUGUUGUAACUGUUAAACUAGCCUAUAGUUUACUAAAAAAAUGAAAAUGAUUAGUCUCAGCGUCAGUUUUUACUUUCACAUUCUAGCGGAUCGACUGAGAUUAAUUUUGGUCAUUAUAUUUUGGAUUUGUAUGUGAUCCCUUGACUAUGUUCCUUUCGUAUUGUCUGUGUAAGCAUUAAUUAAUAAAGAUAAAAAAAGUGCACUUCACUUUGGGACAGCUGUCCAGUGUGACGCGGAUCAUCUCGUUGGAUUCGCCUCGCGGUGAUGACGUCAUCGCUCCCGCGCGCUUCACUGGGAGUUUUCUGAGGUUCGGUGCUCUUUAUGUGUCUGCUAACACUAAUAUAAAGAGAGUUAUACAUUUUAAAUCGAUCGUCAUCAUCAGUUGUCUGUCUCUCUUCACAUAGAAAACGCCUACAAGUACAAGGAUCAAAGCAUCAGGAAGAAGAGACAGAGUU
ensembl:lncRNA